CGUAUCGUGAGGUAUGGAAGAGAGGAAGCAAUAGCGAAAUCAUGGCUUAACGGACAGGAAGUCUGAACAUUAAGUUUGGAUGGCUGAUAAUAAGGCGACAUUAGUGGAUGAGAUGGCAACAAGCAUCAAAGUCCAAAAGAUAACCGUAACCUAAUGGCGUAAAUCAGAUAAGUAACGAGGAAAGGAAACUAA
rfam:Eubacterium sp. 3_1_31 genomic scaffold supercont1.1, whole genome shotgun sequence.